UACGUAGGGUGCGAGCGUUGUCCGGAAUUAUUGGGCGUAAAGGGCUCGUAGGCGGUUUGUCGCGUCGGGAGUGAAAACCCAGGGCUUAACCCUGGGCUGGCUUCCGAUACGGGCAGACUAGAGGUAUGCAGGGGAGAACGGAAUUCCUGGUGUAGCGGUGAAAUGCGCAGAUAUCAGGAGGAACACCAAUUGCGAAGGCAGCUCGCUGGAACGUAACUGACGCUGAGACGCGAAAGCGUGGGGAGCAAACAGG
rnacentral:rRNA from 1 species